GGCUUUCUAGCUCAGUGGCAGAACAUCGGCCUUGAGUGCAGAAGGUCCUAUGUUCAAUCCCCAGCAUCUCCA